CUGCCCUGCAUGGCCCGAGGCCCUACGGCUGAGAGCCAGCCGCGCAUUCCUCGGCGCGGCGGAUGUCUGUGGCCCACCGUUUCCUAGAAUAGGGGCAGCCCCACAUGACAUCCAUGCUCUCCGCAGCAUCACCAGAGCCUCUACUCUUUUACUGUAAAAUGAUGAAGCUCAUCGUUCAUAUCAAAAGAAUUAUGGGGUAUAUUCUUCUUUUCCGGAUGUUCUUAUGCUUGCUCGGUAACACGAUGAUACACUACAAGAAAUACAUAACUUUUUAACGUUUUUAGUAUGACAACUGUAAGAAUGUUACUAUAUCAUCCAUUUUGUGACAUUAUAUUUUAGGCAUAGUGAUUUAGCGACAAUUAAAAGUUGUAUGCCAUAAUAAAUAUCAUUUAACAAGUCUGAUUUCAUCUAGUGACAAUAUUUUCUAUGUCACAAGGCCUGUUUGUGUGUCACAAAUUAUUUUAUUAAUUUUUUUAAAAAUUUUCCAUGUUGACAAGGUCUUUUGCCACGUCAAUACAUAUUUUUCCUUUUUUCUAUUUUGUUUUUAUUAUAUCGAUUCAUAUUUUUUUGUUUUGUAGUUGGGCCACCUAUUGCAGAUAUAGGCCCUAAAUGGGUGAAAUUUGGCGUGGCCAUACUGUGACCGGACCGGACCUGGUUUAGCUAUACUCAGCGUGGAACACCAAGUCUUGCACCGAUCCGGCAGCAGCAACCAGCUGGCACGAAGGGCGGCGUUAAUAUCUCCCCUCGUUCUCCUCUUUAGGUCUCCGCCACCCCCGAUCUGGAUUUCGCAUUCAGCACGCAGCGCAGGUGAGCCUGCUGAGCCCCCGAUCCACCCCUUCCCUCCCUCUCCCUCGGCGGAUCCAGAUCUGAGCACCCCACGUGCUCUUAGAUCUCUUUGCCGCCCCGCCCCACCCCUUUCUCCUCUUCGUCGUAGAUCUCCCGCUCGCCAGCGCGUGAUCUACCAGAACGAUCUGCGCGCUUGCCUCCGCCGCCCGCCAGUCUCGCCCUGACAGCCGGAGAGAUAGAGGAGACUACGGGAUUCGGCAACCACGGUCGGAUCCAUUGAGGAGUAUGGCGACCAUGACAGCCUCCAAUGGGUCCAGGUGGUUUCUAGCGGUCCUCUACUCCUCUUCACCUGUACGUUUUUAAUUCCAUCGCCUAAUCAUUUUUUUUAAUAAUUGCAGCUCUUAUUAGUUCAAUUUGCUGUACAAUUAGUAAGUAAUUUAAUUCGUGCUUUGCUGCUUUGCUUCCGUGCUGCUUCAUGAUUUCCUAUAGAUGUAGCCGCAGGUUCUUGUUAUUCUUUACGAUAAAAAAAAUCCAGACUUUGCACCUUUGGCUAGUCAGAUUGAUGACACCCAUGACCGUGGUGAGUUACUACUCCAGAUCCGGUGGUGUUGUCUUCACCGUGCAAUGCAAGAGUGAACUUGGAGGUCUUUGCAUCCAUGCCGACCAGGUCUUUCUUCCUGCAAUCAAUUGCAAAAUAGUAUGUACACGAUUUGCCUGUUUCUAGGAAUAUGUGCAGAUUAGCAUGCCUUCAAUAUGGCACUAGCACUUCCCCAAACAAAUUUACUGUGAAAGCAUUCCUUGCUUAGGUGUAGAACACUUCAAUAUAGUACAGUGAUUUAGGGUUUAGAGUUUAGGGUUUUGGCUGAUGUGCUGCUACUGUCGUGGGUGUUGCGCUGUUGCUGCAGCUGUUUUGCUGCUGCACUUAUGUUCCAGCAAGUUGAAAUUUGAGACUUGAGACUUAUCUGAUGUGUAAUGAAUUGGUGGAUGGAUGUAAUGGUAUUGAAUUUGAAUCUGAUUUGGUAUGUGUUGAAAAAUUAUAUGGACACAAUUGCAUGUGAUGAAAUAUUGUAUAUGGGCUGAAUUAUGUGGGUUGAACUGUGUGGGCUGAAUUUUGUGGGCUGGAAACAAAAUGCGCUGAAAUAGUGGGCUGCAUUUUGAGGACAAAAAAAAUUGUAUGGGCUGAGUUGUGGGCUCAAAAUUUAUAUGGGCUGUAACUGAAAAUAAUGAACCAGCUAACACCACUCAAAAUAGAUUUAGGCCCAUGAGAUAUGUGGG
rnacentral:lncRNA from 1 species